GUGGGGAAUCUUCCGCAAUGGACGAAAGUCUGACGGAGCGACGCCGCGUGAGUGAAGAAGGCCUUCGGGUCGUAAAGCUCUGUCAUCAGGGACGAACGGCCGGUGGAGUGGAAAGCCACCGGAUUGACGGUACCUGAGAAGGAAGCCACGGCUAACUACGUGCCAGCAGCCGCGGUAAUACGUAGGUGGCAAGCGUUGUCCGGAAUUAUUGGGCGUAAAGCGCGCGCAGGUGGGAUCUUAAGUCCAUUUUUAAAGUUCGGAGCUCAACUCCGUGAUGGGAUGGAAACUGGGAUUCUUGAGUACCGGAGAGGAAAGCGGAAUUCCCCGUGUAGCGGUGAAAUGCGUAGAUAUGGGGAGGAACACCAGUGGCGAAGGCGGCUUUCUGGACGGUGUCUGACACUGAGGCGCGAAAGCCAGGGGAGCGAACGGGAUUAGAAACCCGAGUAGUCC
rnacentral:rRNA from 1 species